CUGAGGCGCGCGGGAGAGACCGUGCCUCCGGUACGGGGGUGCGGCGCCGAAGGAGCAACGGCCCGGAAACUCUCAGGCAAAAGGACCGCGCGUCGACG
rnacentral:ncRNA from 2 species